GCCUGUAGCUCAGUUGGGAGAGCGUUGCAUUCGCAUUGCAGAGGUCGAGGGUUCGACUCCCUUCAGGUCC
rnacentral:tRNA from 1 species